AACGAACGCUGGCGGCAUGCCUAACACAUGCAAGUCGAACGAGACCUUCGGGUCUAGUGGCGCACGGGCGCGUAACGCGUGGGAAUCUGCCCUUGGGUUCGGGAUAACAGUUGGAAACGACUGCUAAUACCGGAUGAUGACUUCGGUCCGAAGAUUUAUCGCCCAGGGAUGAGCCCGCGUCGGAUUAGCUAGUUGGUGAGGUAAAAGCUCACCAAGGCGACGAUCCGUAGCUGGUCUGAGAGGGUGAUCAGCCACACUGGGACUGAGACACGGCCCAGACUCCUACGGGAGGCAGCAGUGGGGAAUAUUGGACAAUGGGCGAAAGCCUGAUCCAGCAAUGCCGCGUGAGUGAUGAAGGCCUUAGGGUUGUAAAGCUCUUUUACCCGGGAUGAUAAUGACAGUACCGGGAGAAUAAGCCCCGGCUAACUCCGUGCCAGCCGCCGCGGUAAAAC
rnacentral:rRNA from 1 species